AGCGAACGCUGGCGGCAGGCCUAACACAUGCAAGUCGAACGAACCUUUCGGGGUUAGUGGCGGACGGGUGAGUAACACGUGUGAACGUGCCUUUAGGUUCGGAAUAACUCAGGGAAACUUGUGCUAAUACCGAAUGUGCCCUUCGGGGGAAAGAUUUAUCGCCUUUAGAGCGGCCCGCGUCUGAUUAGCUAGUUGGUUGAGGUAAUGGCUCACCAAGGCGACGAUCAGUAGCUGGUCUGAGAGGAUGAUCAGCCACAUUGGGACUGAGACACGGCCCAAACUCCUACGGGAGGCAGCAGUGGGGAAUCUUGCGCAAUGGGCGAAAGACUGACGCAGCCAUGCCGCGUGAAUGAUGAAGGUCUUAGGAUUGUAAAAUUCUUUCACCGGGGACGAUAAUGACGGUACCCGGAGAAGAAGCCCCGGCUAACUUCGUG
rnacentral:rRNA from 1 species